rnacentral:rRNA from 1 species
ACCGGCGGACGGGUGCGUAACGCGUGGGAAAAACCUAUUGGUUCGGAACAACUGAGGGAAACUUCAGCUAAUACCGAAUGUGCCCUAACGGGGAAAGAUUUAUCGCCAAUGGAUUAGCCCGCGUCCGAUUAGCUAGUUGGUGGGGUAAUGGCCCACCAAGGCUCCGAUCGGUAGCUGUUCUGAGAGGAAGAUCAGCCACACUGGGACUGAGACACGGCCCAGACUCCUACGGGAGGCAGCAGUUGGGAAUCUUGGACAAUGGGGGAAACCCUGAUCCAGCCAUGCCGCGUGAGUGAUGAAGGCCUUCGGGUUGUAAAACUCUUUCGACGGGGACGAUAAUGACGGUACCCGUAGAAGAAGCUCCGGCUAACUUCGUGCCAGCAGCCGCGGUUAUACGAAGGGGGCUAGCGUUGUUCGGAAUUACUGGGCGUAAAGCGCGCGCAGGUGGUCCUUCAAGUCAGUGGUGAAAGCCCGGAGCUCAACUCCGGAAUUGCCAUUGA